rnacentral:misc_RNA from 1 species
GGUGAAGAACGUAGCGAAAUGCGAUAAGUAAUGUGAAUUGCAGAAUUCAGUGAAUCAUCGAAUCUUUGAACGCACAUUGCGCCCCCUGGUAUUCCGGGGGGCAUGCCUGUUCGAGCGUCAUUUCAACCCUCAAGCUCUGCUUGGUAUUGGGCGUCGCCGGGGAGUCUCCCCGGCGUGCCUCAAAGCCAUCGGCGGUGGUGCCUUUCUCUAAGCGUGGUAGAAUUUUUAUUCGCUUCUGAGUUGGGCUUCGCCUGCCGGACAAACCGGGCCCUCGCGGCCCACCUUCUCAGGUUGACCUCGGAUCAGGUAGGGAUACCCGCUGAACUUAAGCAUAUCAAUAAGCGGAGGA